rnacentral:rRNA from 1 species
AUUGAACGCUGGCGGCAUGCCUUACACAUGCAAGUCGAACGGCAGCGGACCUUCGGGUGCCGGCGAGUGGCGAACGGGUGAGUAAUAUAUCGGAACGUACCUUUCAGUGGGGGAUAACGUAGCGAAAGUUACGCUAAUACCGCAUAUUCUGUGAGCAGGAAAGCAGGGGGAUCGCAAGACCUUGCGCUGAUUGAGCGGCCGAUAUCAGAUUAGCUAGUUGGUGAGGUAAAGGCUCACCAAGGCGACGAUCUGUAGCGGGUCUGAGAGGAUGAUCCGCCACACUGGAACUGAGACACGGUCCAGACUCCUACGGGAGGCAGCAGUGGGGAAUUUUGGACAAUGGGCGCAAGCCUGAUCCAGCCAUGCCGCGUGAGUGAAGAAGGCCUCGGUUGUAAG